rnacentral:lncRNA from 1 species
UGCAAAUAAAAUGUAUAUUUUAUUUCAGUAGCAUAUCACAUCAAAUACAAUAUAUCAUCCUGCAUAGUCAUCUAUUGAUUACAAAUAAAAUGUAUAUUUUAUUUCAGUAGCAUAUACAAUACAAUGUAUAUUUUCUUCAGAUUCACUAUUGUAGUUAUCGCUGUCACUCUCAUCACUAGAGUCUGAAUACCUCCUUUUUGACCUAUGCUUGCGCCUCCUGGCACCAUCAAAGUCACA